UACAACAAUCUGGGUUUGGUUUACAGUGAUAUGGGAGAGUACAAAAAGCAAAAGAUUGUUAUGAACGAGCAAUACUAAAGAAAUUAACAUUGAAGCUUUCAUGGCCUACUUAAAUUACACGGCCUGAUAUCUUGCCACAGUAAGGUCAAAAAUGCAAGGCCAUUGAAUUUUCCGGCGGUGCUCUUCGAAAUUUUGAUCUUCUUCCUUCAAAAUUGUUCAUUGGCCUUACUUUAUGGUAUAAUCUUGUAGCUAAAAGUCUAGCGAUCAUUUCAAGAGUUUAUUGGCUGAAAUUGGUCCUUUUUCGCCGAGAAAUCAAAGUUUAUAAAUUGGUGCGAUCGGCGGUUGUUUUGUUUAUCACGCGCUCGUCUUCGUUCGAAAAUUUUAGCUCUUAAAUCUAUCGUGGAUUAUCUAUCUUUGGUAUCUACGUGUUCCUGGUACUCUCCUCUACAUUUCUACAAGAUUUUUGGAGUCCGUGAAUUAAAGAAAAAAUUUACACUAAAGUCCUAACAACAACAGUUGUAUAUAAAAAAGUUUAAAUAUAUUCUUGAUAAUAUUCAAUACAAACAUUUGUAUUUUCAAGUUUUCAAUAGUCAUUUAGUUACUGGAACAGUUUUUUUUGUUAGCUAAGAAACUUGUAUGGAACUUUUACAGUGUAUAUGAGAUUAGUACGUUUGCAAUCUAUCCAAUGUGUUGAUGGGUUCAUUAAUGCUAAAGUAGUGUUAUAAUGCAUCCUAUGAAGCAGCCAGGGUAUAAUGUAUUGUUAUUAAAACAUGCCUAGGAGAAUUUUUCAGAAGCUUGUCCUUCCAGUACCGAAUAGGAGAAAGGACUAUCUCUGGGAUUGUAGAAGACACUUGCAAAGCAUUGUAUGCCGUAUGAAAAGAAGAAUAUUUGAAGACUCCUUGCAAAGAAGAAGAUUGGUUGAAAAUUGUUGGUGACUUUGAAAGCAAGUGGAACUACCCAUGCUGCAUAGGUGCCAUAGAUGGAAAACAUAUUAGUAUCCAGCAACCUACUGCAAGUGGAUCAGAGUUUUUUAAUUACAAACAUUACUUCAGUGUUAUUCUCUUGGCCCUUGUUGAUGCUAAUUACAAGUUCAUUUAUGUGGAUGUUGGAGCAGCAGGUCGUUCUGGGGAUGCUGGAGUAUUCAGAGAUUUUGCAUUGAAAAGGGCAUUAUCAUCCAACAUUUUAAAUCUUCCCUCUCCACAAAAUGUACAAGGGAUAGCAACAACAAUACAUUGUCACAUUGUUGGCGAUGAUGCAUUUCCCAUGUCAACCAACCUGAUGAAACCAUAUCCUCAUCGUAACUUAGAAAAAGGAAAGCGCAUUUUUAACUACAGAUAGUCAAGGGCACGCCGGGUAGUUGAAAAUGCUUUUGGCAUAUUUGCACAUAGAUGGCGAGUGUUUUUAACCACUAUCAAACUGACCCCAGACAAAAUAACCGAUAUUAUAUUAGCUGCCUGUUGCUUGCACAAUUACAUGAUCAACAAGAACAAAGCAACAUAUACCGUAGCAGUUGACCAAGAGAAUGCAGAUCACACAAUAUCACCUGGAACUUGGAGGAAUGACCCAAACUUAACUGACAUGCAGCGUACAUUAGUGCAUAAUACAUCUAGAGGUGCAAAAGUUCAACGUGAACUGCUAACAAUUUAUUUCAACAAUGAUGGAGCAGUGCCAUGGCAAAACCGAAUUGUUGAUAUGUCAUAAAUUUUAGUUACAUAUAAAUAUUUCAAGAGUAUUUAAACCCAAUGAAAAAUGAAUUUAACUGAUUUA